rnacentral:rRNA from 1 species
GAGGACAGUGGAACUCCAUGUGUAGCGGUGGAAUGCGUAGAUAUAUGGAAGAACGCCAGUGGCGAAGGCGGCUGUCUAGUCUGUAACUGACGCUGAGGCUCGAAAGCAUGGGUAGCGAACAGGAUUAGAUACCCUGGUAGUCCAUGCCGUAAACGAUGAGUGCUAAGUGUUGGAGGGUUUCCCCCUUCAGUGCUGCAGCUAACGCAUUAAGCACUCCGCCUGGGGAGUACGACCGCAAGGUUGAAACUCAAAGGAAUUGACGGGGGCCCGCACAAGCGGUGGAGCAUGUGGUUUAAUUCGAAGCUACGCGAAGAACCUUACCAGGUCUUGACAUCUUCUGCCAAUCUUAGAGAUAAGACGUUCCCUUCGGGGACAGAAUGACAGGUGGUGCAUGGUUGUCGUCAGCUCGUGUCGUGAGAUGUUGGGUUAAGUCCCGCAACGAGCGCAACCCUUAUUAUCAGUUGCCAGCAUUCAGUUGGGCACUCUGGUGAGACUGCCGGUGACAAACCGGAGGAAGGUGGGGAUGACGUCAAAUCAUCAUGCCCCUUAUGACCUGGGCUACACACGUGCUACAAUGGACGGUACAACGAGUCGCGAAGUCGUGAGGCUAAGCUAAUCUCUUAAAGCCGUUCUCAGUUCGGAUUGUAGGCUGCAACUCGCCUACAUGAAGUUGGAAUCGCUAGUAAUCGCGGAUCAGCAUGCCGCGGUGAAUACGUUCCCGGGCCUUGUACACACCGCCCGUCACACCAUGAGAGUUUGUAACACCCAAAGCCGGUGAGAUAACCUUCGGGGGUCAGCCGUCUAAGGUGGGACAGAUGAUUAGGGUGAAGUCGUAACAAGGUAACCAAGGGCGAAUC